GAUGAACGCUGGCGGCGUGCUUAACACAUGCAAGUCGAACGGAAAGGCCCAAGCUUGCUUGGGUACUCGAGUGGCGAACGGGUGAGUAACACGUGGGUGAUCUGCCCUGCACUUCGGGAUAAGCCUGGGAAACUGGGUCUAAUACCGGAUAGGACGAUGGUUUGGAUGCCAUUGUGGAAAGUUUUUUCGGUGUGGGAUGAGCUCGCGGCCUAUCAGCUUGUUGGUGGGGUAAUGGCCUACCAAGGCGUCGACGGGUAGCCGGCCUGAGAGGGUGUACGGCCACAUUGGGACUGAGAUACGGCCCAGACUCCGACGGGAGGCAGCAGUGGGGAAUAUUGCACAAUGGGCGCAAGCCUGAUGCAGCGACGCCGAGUGGGGGAUGACGGCCUUCGGGUUGUAAACUCCUUUCGCUAAGGACGAAGCGUUUUUGUGACGGUACCUGGAGAAGAAGCACCGGCUAACUACGUG
rnacentral:rRNA from 1 species